AAUCAACGCUGGCGGCGUGCCUCAGACAUGCAAGUCGAACGCGAAAGUCCCCUUCGGGGGGCGAGUAGAGUGGCGCACGGGUGAGUAACACGUAGGUAAUCUACCUUUGGAUGGGGAAUAACAACCGGAAACGGUUGCUAAUACCGCAUAAUGCAGCGGCACCUAAUGGUGACAGUUGUUAAAGCGGGGGACCGAAAGACCUCGCGUCUGAAGAGGAGCCUGCGGCGGAUUAGCUAGUUGGAAGGUAACGGCUUACCAAGGCAACGAUCCGUAGCCGGCCUGAGAGGGCGGUCGGCCACACUGACACUGACAUACGGGUCAGACUCCUACGGGAGGCAGCAGUC
rnacentral:rRNA from 1 species